rnacentral:rRNA from 1 species
GUCCUGGCAGUAAACGGUGCACGUUUGGUGUGGGAGGAUUCGACCCCUUCCGUGCCGGAGCUAACGCGUUAAACGUGCCGCCUGGGGAGUACGGUCGCAAGAUUAAAACUCAAAGAAAUUGACGGGGGCCCGCACAAGCGGUGGAGUAUGUGGCUUAAUUUCGAUGCAACGCGAAGAACCUUACCUAGCCUUGACAUGCAUCUCUAAGUCGGUGAAAGCCGGCGACUGUAGCAAUACAGAAUUUGCACAGGUGCUGCAUGGCUGUCGU